GACGAACGCUGGCGGCGUGCUUAACACGUGCAAGUCGAACGGAAAGGCCCUGCUUUUGUGGGGUGCUCGAGUGGCGAACGGGUGAGUAACACGUGAGUAACCUGCCCUUGACUUUGGGAUAACUUCAGGAAACUGGGGCUAAUACCGGAUAGGAGCUCCUGCUGCAUGGUGGGGGUUGGAAAGUUUCGGCGGUUGGGGAUGGACUCGCGGCUUAUCAGCUUGUUGGUGGGGUAGUGGCUUACCAAGGCUUUGACGGAUAGCCGGCCUGAGAGGGUGACCGGCCACAUUGGGACUGAGAUACGGCCCAGACUCCUACGGGAGGCAGCAGUGGGGAAUAUUGCACAAUGGGCGGAAGCCUGAUGCAGCAACGCCGCGUGCGGGAUGACGGCCUUCGGGUUGUAAACCGCUUUCGCCUGUGACGAAGCGUGAGUGACGGUAAUGGGUAAAGAAGCACCGGCUAACUACGUG
rnacentral:rRNA from 1 species